AGAGGCAGUAGGUGUUGUGAAACAGAGAAGGAAAGGGGGCAAUAAAGAACGACAGGACGGCAAUAAGCUCGCUUUUUCUUUAAUUUGUGACGAAAUCUUCAUCGUAAAGUCAAAAAUGCCACAAAUGUGAGGAUGGAAUAUACAGCAUGUUUCUUCCUAAAAGAAAGGUAAAAGGAAAGAGAGGAGGAUUUGCACUGCAUGGCAUAUGAAUAAUGCCAGAUUCUUUCUGCAAAUACCAGCUGGUUCUGAAGUAUUUUGGUUGUGUUUAAAACCACAGUCUACCUUGGAUGACCUUUCCAGAUAAAUCGUGGCUUUUCUUCCAUCAACUGAAACCUUGAAAUGAGGAACAGCAGACAUGAUAGCGGUCAGGACUGUUUUUUUUGUGUUUUUUUUUUAUCUGUGUGUGUGUGUG
ensembl:lncRNA